CAAGGUUAAAACUCAAAGGAAUUGACGGGGACCCGCACAAGCGGUGGAUGAUGUGGAUUAAUUCGAUGCAACGCGAAAAACCUUACCUACCCUUGACAUGCCAGGAACUUGCCAGAGAUGGCUUGGUGCCCCGAAAGGGAGCCUGGACACAGGUGCUGCAUGGCUGUCGUCAGCUCGUGUCGUGAGAUGUUGGGUUAAGUCCCGCAACGAGCGCAACCCUUGUCGUUAAUUGCCAUCAUUUGGUUGGGCACUUUAACGAGACUGCCGGUGACAAACCGGAGGAAGGUGGGGAUGACGUCAAGUCCUCAUGGCCCUUAUGGGUAGGGCUUCACACGUCAUACAAUGGUCGGUACAGAGGGUUGCCAAGCCGUGAGGCGGAGCCAAUCCCAGAAAGCCGAUCGUAGUCCGGAUUGCAGGCUGCAACUCGCCUGCAUGAAGUCGGAAUCGCUAGUAAUCGCGGAUCAGCAUGUCGCGGUGAAUACGUUCCCGGGUCUUGUACACAC
rnacentral:rRNA from 1 species